rnacentral:misc_RNA from 1 species
UUUUGGCCUUCCAAUAGUAUUUUGUUAAUAAAAAAAAUACUAUGGAGGGCACAAGACCCCAAUAUUCAUAUGUUCUAAACAUAAACAGCAAAUUUUCAAAACAGGGAUACCUGUCACUAGUUCUAAAGACUGCCCCAGCAUUCUCCAAAAGGAUCUUUAACAACUCCAAGGCCACUAUCUUCCCUCUCAUCAACUGAGGAUCAGCCAAGGCCUCUUUAGGAGGCGUUUUCAUUGAUAACUUGCAAAGAGCUCUAAAGACCAAAAAUGCAUCUCUCCGCAGCUUAUUCCCAAUCUGAACCUCUAAGCCCUCGUCUCUUUCCACUUCUCCAUCAGUCAAUUCCCCUUUCCUCCCCUCCAACGCCGUCUUAUACAUGCUAAUCUCCCAAUA